GGACUGUUAGCUCAAUUGGUCAGAGCGCUCGCCUUACAAGCGAGAGGUUACAGGUUCAAGUCCUGUACGGUCCA
rnacentral:tRNA from 1 species